rnacentral:lncRNA from 1 species
GAGAGCUUCUAGCUUAAAUUCAAAAUCUGUUGCUACAGGUAAUUUUUGAUUGAUUUCAGCGUGUGUACACAUGGAGUCUUCUUGCUUGGAUAUAGGAUCUGUACAUAUGGGAACUUCCUGUUUGGAUUCAUGGCCUGUACACAUAAUUUCUUGCCUAGAUUCAGGGUCUGUCCGUAUUAAAACUUCUUGCCUGGAUUCAGGGCCUGUAUACAUGGGAACUUCUUGCCUGGAUUCAGGGCCUGUAUACAUGGGAACUUCUCGCCUGGAUUCAGGGCCUGUACACGUGGGAACUUCUUGCCUGGGUUCAGGGUCUGAACACAUGGGAACUUCUUGCCUGGGUUCAGAAUCUGUAUACACGGGAACUUCUCGCCUGGAUUCAGGGCCUGUACACAUGGGAACUUCUUGCCUGGAUUCAGCAUCUGAACACAUGGGAACUUCUUCCCUGGAUUCGGCGUCUGAACUCGUGGAUAUUACUUGUUUGUCCAAAGUUAUUACACCUUUGGGUUUUUGGAAAAACCAUGGAGAU